GGGGUUGUGGCUCAGUGGUAAAGCGUUUGCCUAGCAUGCAUGAGGCACUGGGUUCGAAUCUCAGCACCA
rnacentral:tRNA from 1 species